AACUAUAGCCAUAUUAAUUGUCAUCGGUUAUAUUGUAAUACAAAUCAAUCCGACCAAGAAGUACUUAACUUUGAAAUGUUUCGACUAGAAAUUAAACAGUUUUUCAAAUGGAUUCUAAUUGGGACUAUCGUUGCAUCACAACUGAUCGCAAUGACAGUGGCAAAUCUGGCUCCCAAAACUGAGUCUUUGGAAGUAUGUGGAGCACCCGGUCAUGAAAUACCUUGCCUCUGUGAGGGGGAAGGCGCAGAUAUGGAGUGUCACCCAAUAGAGUAGAAAUAAAAUCAGUAAGCGGAAAUAUUGUGAAAAAGUGACCCCGAAUGAGAAGAAGUGAAAAGAUCUUUUGUUGGUUUAUACUGUUUAUAAGUUUUAUGUUUGUUUAUUAAUUACAGAAGUUCAUGUCAAUACUGCAAAA